GAAUCAGAAAUCCCUGUGGCGAUGGCUGGAGCGGAUAGUGGUUGGAGUUGGGUCAUCGCAGUUGCCUGCUGUUGGAUAACUUUCGUUAUCCAAGGACUGGUCAGGUCCGGUGGGGUUGUCUACGUCGCCCUCAUCGAUGCCUAUGGGGUCAGCAGAUCUCAAGCUUCGUGGCCUUUCACCUUAAGAUUGGCUCUCUGGAAUCUGAGUGGUCCGUUAGCCGGCUCUUUGAGUUACAAAUGGAGUAUCCGUUCCAUCACUUUGUUCGGGGUGAUGCUGGUAACUGUGACCAAUGUCAUCUGCUGGUUCAUAUCCGAUAUGGUCCUGGUCACUUUUUUCCUCGGUGGAUUGCAAGGUUUGGGUGUGGGUCUUGCGGUGACCUUAGUUCCAGUGAUGAUCAACCAGUACUUCGUGAAGUACAAGACUACGGGGGCCGGCAUUGCAUGCGCGGGAGCAACUGUGGGCUCCUUCGCUUUGCCUCCCCUGGUCGAGUUCACCAUCGAAGAGUACGGAUUGAAGGGGGCAUUCCUCAUGAUGGCUGGAAUAACUUUGCAUGGAUUGCUAGGCGCCUCGCUUCUGCGUCCAGCAGAAUGGCUCAACAAAAAAACAGUUGUCAGCAGCAAUGGAAAGAAUAUGAUUCAAGAGGAAAAGAAAGGUGACCAGAAUCUCAAUUUCGUAACAACCAAAUCAAAGAAUAUUCCGGAUGUGGAAGAAAUUAAAACUCUACUGAAUGGUGAGGAUAAAGAAAGGACUACGAAAUCAAUCAAGGCAGUUAGAUUCUCUUGCAGUGAGGAUCAAAACAAUGAAAGGAACUUUGAAAACGAAGAAAGUAAUCUAAUAGAUAAUUCUGAAAAUGUAGAGAUCGUGCGAAGUAAUAAUCAGCCAAUGACUUCACAAACAAUGAUUAUUAAUCCGAAUUAUACUAUAAACGGACAGAGUGAAUCCACAUCGGAUCCAAAUGGAACCAAAUAUAUUCCCUCAGAACAGCCAACGGAAGACAUCAUGUCAGAUGGGGAAGAACCUCAUCAUUAUGGAAAACUUCAAUUUAUAGAUAAUAAAGCGGAAUACGACCCCCAAAUCAAUUUACACACUAUUUAUGUACCUACCACCUCCAGCUCACAUGUAUCUCAGGGAUCAUCGCAUACUAUCCUCAAACCUAUCAACAUUUCUAAUGGCCACAUCCAUUUGCCACAUGAAGUCAAAAGAAAAUGGUUGACAGGUCUCAUGGAACCAGCCAAAGCUGCCUACGAAAUAGUCAAGAAUCCGAUGUUUUUGAUCAUAGCAAGCAACUACUCAAUAUUUUUUCUGUCUUAUAUGACCUACCUCACAGUCAUUGUAGAUUAUACUCUGGAUUUAGGAAUAGACCGUACUGAUUGUGUCUUUCUUGUGUCCACUUUCUCAAUUGCUGAUCUUGCCGGACGUCUAGGGUCCGGUUGGAUCACGGAUAGUGGCACAGUGAAGAGGAAACACUUAAUGAUGGUGAACAUGGUGACUUUCGGGUCACUUCUUGCAGCCACUUCCUUAACAGACACAUAUAUAGCUAUAACUGCACUUUCUGUGAGCUCAGGACUUAUUGUUGGUAUCAAUCUUAUCCUGUUUUACGCCCUUCUGGAAGAAUAUUUGGGUCUUAGCAAGCUUCCAAUGGCUAUUGGAUUGAUGAAUUUUUCUAUUGGAGUAGUUUCUCUUGUUACACCUUUACUGACAGGUUACUUUCGGGAUACUAUGGGCAGCUAUGACCAUUUAUUCCAUUUGCUCGGUGGCGUAUGUAUUUUCUGUGGUCUUCUAUGGGCUUUUGAACCCCUAAUUGUGCGUAACAAAGAAAAGAAUGGCAUCAAAAAAGGCCUUCCAGCUUAACUGUCAAGUAAGGAAUUCCAGCAGCUUCAGAGGACAGCAAUCUACAGACGCACAGUCUUGUGAAGUGCAUUUUUGUUAUUUUUGUCAAAACGUUUCACCUUGGACCAACAGCACGUAAAACUUGCAUUAUGGUUUUCCUUUGCAUUUUUUUUUUAUAUAUCUGUGAUAAGCAAGUAUUUCUUGAAAGCCAUCUCAACGACAUAAAAUGAUUGGAAUAUUUAUAUUGCGUAAAAAGAACUUCACCGUUCUGUUAGAAAUAACAGAACGCUUUAUUGUGUCAUGUGUCUGUGAUAUUCAAGCUUGAUAGGAGAGUAUGGAAAAUCAAUUUAAGGGGCAUUGUUUUCAAAACUUUGCGAAAUUCUACUACGGUAAAGAAAUUUCACUCAACUGAUUCUUCUCCGCUUUUUAUGUAAAGUGUAAAAUCUAAAAAAUAUACCUAAAUCCUAGUAGCACACAUUUACUGUACAAUAUUAAACGAUAUUCGCAAUAUUAUAUAAUAUUCUUGAAUGCUGAUUAAUAUAAUAUGAUAUCGCACAAUAUUGUGCAAACAAUAAUAUACAAUAAUGUGCGAACAAUAUUGUGCAGCAUUUUAUAUUACUUACAAAACUAUCUACCUACGCAUGUACAAGUUAUAAAUACUUAGAAAGUAAAUUCAGAUGGAUCAAACAAUGGACUAAGUAUAAACUUUGCUUUAAAAUAACAGUGUUUCUGCAGAAUUUCUUUAGACUUUUUUCUGCACUUGUUAUGUUUCUUAUUCUGAUUAUAAACUUAUUUCUACAAGCAAGCUGAGAUUGCCUUUUUUCGUUUAUUUAAAUAAAGGCAGCAGUAAUAAAUUACAGGUGCAGAUAUGAAUUCAGUCUUCAGAAUCGAAGGGUUGCGAGUCCAAGACUGGAUUUCAACAAAUCUAACAAAUUCACAUGUCCCGCCCCCUUUCGUGGAAUGGAGAAGAAUCUAUUAAGGCAUUGGAUCUUCCAUUCCUGGAAGAUCCAAUUGAAUCUAGACUUUUUCAAGACGCCUCUUGUAAAACACCUACAAGCAUUUUUGGCAAAAUGUGUCAAUUAUUUUCUAUAAGUUAGACAAAUAAAUCAAUGAAGCAAAUUUUCGAUCCCAUAAAAACAUGUUGAAUAAGUUUUGAUGCAUGCAUGGUGUCCUAUAAUUCUUGAACACAUUGCAAAAUUAUAUAAAAUAAUAUUCGGAAAUAAUUGCGUUUUUUCGAUGCUAUAUAUUACUGACACAACUCAUAAAAUAUUUCGUAACAAUCGUUUCGUCAGAAUGCAAUAGAUGGCGCUAUGUACGACUUCACUUAAAAUCGUGCGAUUUUAAAAAUUCAACUCCUUUUUCAUGUGAUAGUUUUUCAAAGAUAGUUCUUAAAACAUCAUCGUAACUGGCAUCCUAAUGGACUUUUCGUCAAAAUUCCUAUAAAUUCAGAAGUUUUCAAUUUUGUCGCUCGUUGAUCAUUGAUCCGGCAUCUAGAAAACUGUCUUCUUUAUAAGGAAUAGCCAAUUACGUGCUUUAGGGCAGAAAAUAUUUUUCCCCCGUCUUCAGCAAAAACAAAUAAAUUUCUUGGCUGUCCAACUCAUGAGCAUACAACUGGUCAUAUGAAAAACAUGGAUUUUCUAAGUCCAAUCUGCACUUUUGAAGUGAUUGACCUUGUGCCUUGCUGAUAGUCAUCGAGAAUGCAAGUUGAAUGGUGUGCUGCAGUCGUCUGACAUUAAAAGACAUGUUGGCGGGAAAGCAUGGGAUGAACACAUCUUCUCCAUUAAGAAUAGUUGCCUCAAUUAUUGCUGCAUAUUCAUCUUGAGAUUCUAAAGUAUGCAAUUCAUAAAUGAUCCGAUUCAUUGCUCACUUGUUGUUCCUUGUUAAUUUGAGAAACUCGAAUUUGCUUAUUUCUAUGUGCUGCCCUGGUAGAUCUACUAAGUGACAAAUGUUUAGAUGAAGCAAUUAACACGAUAUAUACUUGUAUAAUCAAAAUAUUGUUUGUUGAUUCACUGAGUAAAUGGAAAAAUAACUGUUCGCACUGGAAAAUUUCCCUUAUAUAUAACUUACCUUGAUUGGCAUUGAUAAUAAUUCUAUUUUGAAUGUUUAAAGAUAAACUCUAAAUAACAUGUGCGGUUUGGCAUAGCCAAAAUAUUGUGCACGCUGAAUGACAAUAUAUUGUGUAGAUGCUUAAUGAAAAGAAAGAAAUGAGCUCUUGCAGUAAAUAUUUUCGCUUUC